CCUGCUGCCGCCGAGCCUCGCUCCGCCCCGGAGGUGCUGAGAGCCGGCUGACCGCGCCCUGCUCCGCAGCCCUGCCUUCCCGCUCUGCUCGCUUCAGCCUCCGCCCCUUGGGCAGCGCGGUGCCUCAGCUGCGCCCGGAGCGGUGCUGCCGAUGCCGUGCCGCGCCUGAGGCGAGGGAAGGGCUUUGCUUGACCCGGGCGUGAGGCGCGUGCGGGGCUGAGGAGCCGCAGCCCAGCUGCUGCGCGCCCCUGCCCUGCGGGGAGUGGCUUUCAAGUUUCCUCACCGCUUUGCCGCACUUCCUCUUCCAGGCUCUCAUUUGAAAUAGUGUUUUGGUGGCUUAAGAGCCGUGGGUAUCGUUAGAGCGGCGGGGACGAAGCCGGGCGGGUUCCCCGCGGUAGCAGGUGAGGCGUGAAGGGUUGGGCUGCGCACAGGAAGAUGUGGAGCACAAGGAGGAGAGAGCACGGAAUGACAGCAUGCCCCGAGUUGGAAGGGAAUCGUGCGGAUCGUGGAUUCCAACUCCUGGCUCCGCACGAGACCCUCCAGAAACGAGGCCAUAUAUCUGAGUGUUGUAGAGAAUUAUUAACUCAGCUCAGUGCCACGAGCACAAGGGAGCCUGUUCCACACCCACCGCCCUCUGCUGCAGAGCCUUUUCCUGAUAGCCAGCCUGAACGUCUUCUGCCCAAAGCACACUUUUGUCAUUGUUUUCUAACUCAUCCUGGUGGAUGCCUGGGUGCUGCUGAGGGCCGUGACCGACCGUCACGAGGCUGCAGACAUCUCUGGAAAGCCGGGUCCCGCCUGCGUGGUGUCUAGCUUCUUCCCUGAAGGUUUCACUUCAUACUCACAAGUGCAAAAUAUGUGGUAACACUCCUGGUGUUGCUGCUACAGCGGGGUUCCUUCAGCAGAACAGAGUCCCAACGCAGCUGAGGAGGCUUUAUCACCGUAUUCUACAUUCAGUGGAAUUGAGAAGGCCGUGAAAACCAGUUACUGUUGGCCAGCAUUUUGCAGUGUUCUAUGUCAGCUUCUAGGUGAAUAUUAAGUUGAAUACACAGCACCAUACCUCCUGAGCCUGUAGUGGGGAACUACUUCAGCACAGAGCAACGUGUGGACAAGGUGUGCUACCAAACCAGAGCCUCCUGCUGCUGGCUUCUUUUGAAUUCUUCCAUUCAGGAAAUCUGCUCUGCCUGAAGCUGCUUCAUUUUUGGCAUGUGGCAUGAUGAAGUUGGGUUAAUUUUGAGAAUGAGCAAUUUCACGAGCAUAUAUUAAAAAGGAAAGUGAGAAAU